rnacentral:tRNA from 1 species
GCUUCAUUUGCACAGGGGCUAGUGCGUUCGCUUCGUAAGCGAAAGGUCGUGGGUUCAAAUCCCACAUGAAGCU